UGCAAGGACUGAGAGAAAAAAUAUCCUUCGUAAUUCAAAUUAAUUAAUUUCAAUGUUUUGAUGUCACCAUCUAAAUCACUACAUUUGCACCACGGCAUUUGAGAAUAUAUAUAAUAAUUUUUACAAAGGAAAAACAGAUCAUUUCACCGCAAACCGUGGAGGGGGAAGACAGUCAGGGAGAGAUGAUGUCAUAGUUUCUGGUCGCUCCCAUUGAAAAAGCUGGUGGCUGCAGGCUUCCUCUUCUUCAGGCUCUCAUCGUCGCCUCAUCUGCUUCGUUGGCCUUGCGGGUUCCACCCGUGGAAGCACAACUUGAGCGGAUGAUCUUCCAGGCAUAAAACGGAAAAACCCAGCUUUAAAUGUCAGCCGAGGUCCGUUUUAAAGAAACGCACUUAAUAUGUGAUUUGAAAGAUGUCAACUCAAAUCCUCCUUUUGUUUUUUGUUUUUUAUUGUGGAUUAUGACCUGUCGCCUGUGUAGCGGAGCCGCUCCUGCCCAGAAAGGAGGAGGAGGUGGUGGGGGACAGAAGAGGAGGAGACGCGCAGAAGGGUGUCGACGGUGAGAGGAGACAGGGGUGGAGGAGAGAGGUGGGCGAAAUAAUAGACUAGUGUUAUUACAAGCUGGUAACAAUGGCUGCUAAAUCGGACGGGGUCCUGAAGAUGAAGAAGAGCGACGUGGCCUUCACGCCCCUGCAGAACUCGGAGUACUCCGGCUCGGUUCAAGGGCUCCACCCGGGCUGCCAGCCUGACUCCGCUGGCGCCGGGGACGCUGACUUCGUUAACGGGGAAUCGCGUUGUUGUGGCGGCGGGGGCUCCAACACGGCUUGUCUUCGCUUGGGCAGGGAGCAGCAGAAAUAUACGGUGUGGGACUGCCUGUGGAUAGUCGCCGCAGUGGCCGUGUAUGUGGCCGAUGUGGGCACUGAUGUGUGGCUGUCAGUCGACUAUUACCUCCAGCGAGACUACUGGUGGUUCGGCCUGACGCUCUUCUUCGUCGUACUGGGUUCCUUCUCGGUGCAGCUCUUUAGCUUCAGAUGGUUCGUUCACGAUUUCAGCACAGAGGAGGCGACGGAAUCCGCCGCCGAUUGCUCGCACAUGGACGGUAAUAAGCUGCUGAGUGGCUCGGCCUCACACGCUGAUGUGAGCGCUCAGCAUCCCCCGACCACGCCGCAGAGACAGGCGUCGACCGCGAGUAAGAACACUACGAACAACAGCACCAACAGCACCGCCAUGGGAAGCCGGACUCGGAAACGCUCGGCCUCAUACUCCUUGUGUAUGUGGUUCUCUCAGUCUCUCAUCCACAUCUUCCAGCUGGGCCAGAUAUGGAGGUACCUCCAUACUAUUUAUCUGGGCAUUCGGAGUCGUCAGAGUUCUGACACUGACCGGUGGCGUUACCAUUGGAGGAUGAUCUAUGAGUUUGCAGACGUGAGCAUGCUGCAUCUACUGGCCACUUUUCUCGAGAGCGCUCCACAGUUGGUGCUACAAUUGUGCAUCAUAAUACAGACACACAAACUUCAGGCUGUGCAAGGUAUGACAGCAGCAGCCUCCCUCGUCUCCCUUGCCUGGGCCCUUGCCUCCUAUCAGAAGGCCCUGCGAGAAUCUCGGGAUGACAAGAAGCCCAUCACCUACCUAGCUGUCAUCAUUCAGUUCUGCUGGCACUUCUUCACUAUCGCCGCAAGGGUCAUCACUUUUGCCCUGUUUGCGUCCGUUUUCCAACUUUACUUUGGCAUCUUCAUCGUGCUACACUGGUGCAUCAUGACCUUCUGGAUUGUCCACUGUGAGACGGACUUUUGCAUCAGCAAGUGGGAAGAAAUUGUGUUUGACAUGGUGGUGGGCAUUAUCUACAUCUUUUCCUGGUUCAAUGUUAAGGAGGGACGGACAAGGUGUCGUCUUUUCAUCUACUACCUGGUGAUACUGGUGGAGAAUGCGGCUCUCAGUGCAUUGUGGUACAUCUACCGCUUACCUCACCCCACUGACUCCUUUGCUGUGCCAGCACUCUGUGUCAUCUUCAGUAGUUUCCUCACAGGGGUGGUUUUCUUGCUCAUGUACUAUGCUUUUUUCCAUCCAAACGGGCCUCGUUUUGGUCACUCGCCAAGCUGCCAGCGCCUUGAUCUGGAUGCCACGACUCAGUUCUCCACACUACCGUCUGAGGGUGGCACCAAUUCUCUGCGCUCCAACCGGGGAGCCACCACAACAUUAGAGCGCGACGCUGCAAAAUAUACGGAAAGGGAUGGUUGCAUGCCAGUGUUUCAGGUGCGACACACCGUGCCAUCUACUCCAUCAUCUCGUGCGCCUCGCCUCGAUGAGACCGUCAUCAAGAUUGAUCUCUGUCGGAACCGCUACCCAGCCUGGGAGCGCCACGUCCUCGACCGUAGUAUACGAAAGGCAAUUUUGGCCAUAGAUUGCUCGCUGACUCCUCCACGGCUGCAGUAUAAAGAUGAUGCCCUGGUACAAGAAAGGUUGGAGUAUGAAACCACAUUAUAAUGCUCUCUUAACUCCACCCAGCAGCCAGAAUCAGCAAAACAGACUGUGGCACGUGACUCCCCAUUUCAUCUCUCUCCCCCUACUUUCUUCGUCAACUCAGUGACCUUCCAAUGAAAAAUCCAACAAUCAGAGGAGAGUGCCAAAACGUUUCCUUGGAAAUAUUGAAGAUGUGGAGCGCCUCAUACAGUAGAUGGCACAGUAGUCUCUCCACAAGUGCAGACUUUUAAUCGUCUUAGCUCAUUCUAGAAGAAGAAGGUCAAGUACUUGAAGACAAUGGUUAAAGUAGCACUUAUUUACAGUUGUCAAACCUGGCUGAAAGAAAGGGUGGAACAAAAAGUUGAACACAAAGAUCCACAGCCUCUCUCUCUCCAACUCGCCGAUUGCCAUGGGGGAAAAAAAACCCUUCCUGGCACCUCAAGUCCACAAUAAAGAACAGCUUUCUACACUUAAGUGAGCUGAAGUUCCACCUUGUGAACGAGAGCAGCAGAAUUGAGGACUGUGGUGGAUGCCAUUUGAAAAGAAAUGACGCGUGGAGAAUCCAAAAGAUACAGCCAGGAAGGAAGCGCUUGCAACGCCAAAUCGAAGCAACCGGGAUGUACAAUACUUCUAUACAACAUGCAGCAUUUUCUUACCUUUUCAGAUCAGUAGUGGGUACUGAAGUCAUUGUUAUUCUUGUUCUGUAUGUCCAAAAGUCUUAGAUCACCAUUACAGAUGUUGUUUUAGUAAGUACAAUGUUGGUGAGUAAAACACAGGCCUCAAACAAGGCCAAGCUGUGAAGAAAAAUAACUAAACCUAAGUAUCACCAACAAAGUUCUUCCUUGGUCUGCCCGUCCUUUACUCAUUUUCAUGACGAUUGGUCAGCUAUUUUUUUUUUUUAUCCUGUUCAGAUUGAUGGCUGCUGUAAAAAACAAGAUCAUUAGAAGAAGAAAGCUCAAGGUGGCCUAAGACUUUGCACAAUACCGUGUGUGUCUGUGUGUGCGUGCGUGCGCGUCUGUACGAAUUUGUGUGCAAAUAUAUGGACCCCUUUAUGGCCUACGUCAUGAUGACGUCAGUGUAAACUGGAGGCAAAGUGAAGUUGAAAUAUGCCAACUUGCGUUUUCAAGCAUGCUAAAUCAUUUUGCCUCCAGCUAAGCCCAAAAUGAUGCCACAUUGUUUACAAACUCAAAAGGGGGUUUAACUACUGUGACUUGCCAUGCCCCUUGUGGAAUUGAAUGGGAUGGUACUGCUGACUUGAAAAGACUUAAGAUAAUAGGCCACAAGUUGAGCAGGUUGUCCCCCGGCCCUCUCACUUCCUGACUCCCACAGUGAUGAUAUUUGAAAUAGAAUACAUCUUCCAGGGUCAAACGUAUAUGCCAUCGCAAACUUUUGAAUAUAGUUCAGGUGAUAAUUUAAGUAACACUUAAACAUUCCAUACUUUCCUCGUAUGGGAAUCUAACGAAAAUUUCCCCAGACAUCUGGAAAAGCUACAAUAGGUAUUGUAGACAAAAUCAAGAAGUGAGGCAUACAGUAAUCC